UGGCUCAGAAUGAACGCUGGCGGCGUGNUUAACACAUGCAAGUNGCACGAGAACGCUUCAGCUUGCUGAGGCUAGUAAAGUGGCGCACGGGUGAGUNACGCGUGGGUAAUCUGCCUNUGAAUUGGGGAUAACACUGCGAAAGCGGUGCUAAUACCGAAUAACAUUCCUUGGACCCCGGUUUAAGAAAUCAAAGGUGGCCUCUACAUGUAAGCUACCGUUUGGAGAUGAGCCCGCGUACCAUUAGCUUGUUGGUGGGGUAACGGCCCACCAAGGCGACGAUGGUUAGCUGGUCUGAGAGGAUGAUCAGCCACACUGGAACUGACACACGGUCCAGACUCCUACGGGAGGCAGCAGUGAGGAAUUUUGCGCAAUGGGGGAAACCCUGACGCAGCAACGCCGCGUGAGUGAUGAAGGCCUUCGGGUCGUAAAGCUCUGUCAAGCGGGAAGAACCUGCCUUGUGAUAAUACCACGAGACACUGACGGUACCGCUGAAGGAAGCACCGGCUAACUCCGUGCCAGCAGCCGCGGUAAUACGGGGGGUGCAAGCGUUAUUCGGAAUCAUUGGGCGUAAAGGGCGCGUAGGCGGCCUCUUAAGUCAGAUGUGAAAGCCCUCGGCUCAACCGAGGAAGUGCAUUUGAAACUGGGGGGCUUGAGUAUGGGAGAGGGAAGCGGAAUUCCUGGUGUAGCGGUGAAAUGCGUAGAUAUCAGGAGGAACACCGGUGGCGAAGGCGGCUUCCUGGACCAGUACUGACGCUGAGGCGCGAAGGCGUGGGGAGCAAACAGGAUUAGAUACCCUGGUAGUCCACGCAGUAAACGGUGAACACUAGGUGUAGCGGGUAUUGACCCCUGCUGUGCCGAAGCUAACGCAUUAAGUGUUCCGCCUGGGAAGUACGGCCGCAAGGUUAAAACUCAA
rnacentral:rRNA from 1 species